AACCUUGUUAUGUAGUAAUGAGGAUUCUUCCUGUACAAUAUUGUUUGCGGGUUUACUAAGAAUACUAUCGUUAGAUCCCAGUUGUAAAAUUGGGAUAGUGUUGUAGUUACUAUGUUUGCUGACCUUCGGUAUAUCUAGAUUCGAUUAGGCUACUCCUCUAACAAUCCACCACCCCCACUCUGUCCAUGGAUGUCGUAAGAGGCGACUAAGGAAGAAACAUACGAACAUCAAAAGUCCCCUACCCGUCUGGCUAGGUGGCUAGUGUGGAAGUGUAAGCCGAAUCCUCCAUUUGCUUCUGGUUUCGAAGCCUGCAAGCGGCGCAUCCUCACACUGUCCCUCCCACACGAACCUCCCAACUGUUCCGAAGAUGAGCGCACUCUCUUCCUCCGGACAGUGGUGGACUUCAACCAGACGCAAAGCGUCCACGCUUUAGGCGCCCUUCUGCGGUAUCUGGACCUCAAUUGGUCCUCGCUCUGCAUGGACCUGCAUAGCAAGCCGCAGUUCUUGAGACUGAAGAAGAUUUCGCUCGCAGACAUAGUAACCAUGGACGAGGACACGUACCGCGGGCUGCAGAUCUUCAGCUCGGUGUCGCACCCCAGCGGCUUCAAGCGCGGCGUGCACGGCUCCAGCAAGGAGGGGCUCAGCCUGUUCUACGUGCUCAGCAAGUGCAGCUCCAAGACUGGGCAGAGCAGGAUGC